UGCCGACGAUGCGUAGGGGUUCUGAGAGGAAGGCCCCCCACACUGGUACUGAGACACGGACCAGACUCCUACGGGAGGCAGCAGUGAGGAAUAUUGGUCAAUGGCCGAGAGGUUGAACCAGCCAAGUCGCGUGAGGGAAGAAUGUCCUAAGGAUUGUAAACCUCUUUUGUCGGGGAGCAAAAAGGCUCUGCGGAGUCGUAUUGAGAGUACCCGAAGAAAAAGCAUCGGCUAACUCCGUGCCAGCAGCCGCGGUAAUACGGAGGAUGCGAGCGUUAUCCGGAUUUAUUGGGUUUAAAGGGUGCGCAGGCGGCGUGUCAAGCAAGCGGUAAAAUAGCGGGGCUCAACCCCGUCGAGCCGUUUGAACUGGCGCGCUUGAGUUCAGGCGAGGUAGGCGGAAUUCGUGGUGUAGCGGUGAAAUGCAUAGAUAUCACGAAGAACUCCGAUUGCGAAGGCAGCUUACCAGUCUGCGACUGACGCUCAGGCACGAAAGUGUGGGUAUCGAACAGGAUUAGAUACCCUGGUAGUCCACACAGUAACCGAUGAGCGCUAGGUGUCCGGGUCGCAUGAGACUUGG
rnacentral:rRNA from 1 species